rnacentral:lncRNA from 1 species
GACUUGCCUAGCAUGCACAAGGCACUGGGUUCAAUCCUCAGCACCACAUAAAUGUAAAAUAAAGAUAUUGUGUCCACCUAAAACUAAAAUUAAAAAAAUAAAUAUUUUUUUAAAAAGAUUGUUUUUCACAUGAGUUCAUAGUCUCAGAAACUAAGAGUAACUGAGGGUGCUGUUGGUGCAAAGGGUUUCCAGGAUCUCAAGAUUGACAUUUUGUAGCUGGGAGCACAGUAGGGUGAUGGCUUUGAUAGGGAGGCAGGGCCCAGACUUAGAAAUAGGGAACCUAGAAAUACUACCCAACCCCCCCCCCUCCCCCGGCCUAUUAGGUCACAACUGUUCCAGAGAAAAAAAAUGAAGAAUCAGCCAUGGUCAAGGAGCAUCUUGACCCCUCCAUCCAGGAAUCAAAGGGAGUGCAGCAUUAAGAGUCAGUUGGGCCAGGCACAGUUGCGGAUGUGCACAUCUAUAAUCCCAGCAACUCAGGAAAGCGGAAGCAGAGGAUCACAAGUUUGAGUCCAGCCUGAGAACUUAGUGAAGCCCUAAGCAACUUGGUGAGACCCCUGUAUAAAAAUUAAAAGGGCUGGGGUUAUGGGCUGAAAUUGUGGCUCAGUGGUAGAGCACUUACCUGGCAUGUGUGAAGCCUGGGUUUGAUCCUCAGCACCACAUAUAAAUAAAUGAAACAAAAGAUCCAUUGACAACUAAAAAAAAAAGGAGCUAGGGUUAUAACUCAGUGGUAAAGCACGACUGGGUUAAAUCCCCAGUACCAAAAAAAAAGAAUCAGAUAAGGAAUGCUAAAGGGAAACAGAAACUGGAGCAUCAUGGGGUUUGACCACUGUUAUUCACCAGGAACUCAGCCUAGGUGCACUUUUCUUUUCAAACUCAUCUACCCUCAUUGUUCUUAUGAGGAAUUUUGUCAGGCCUCUG